GACGAACGCUGGCGGCGUGCUUAACACAUGCAAGUCGAACGGAAAGGCCUGCUUUCCCUUGUGGAUUGCGGGUACUCGAGUGGCGAACGGGUGAGUAACACGUGAGUGAUCUGCCCCCAACUUGGGUAUAAGCCUGGGAAACUGGGUCUAAUUCCCGAUAGGACUGCAGGGUGGUGCCUGUGGUGGAAAACGAUUUUCUAGUGGUUGGGGAUGAGCUCGCGGCCUAUCAGCUUGUUGGUGGGGUAAUGGCCUACCAAGGCGGCGACGGGUAGCCGGCCUGAGAGGGUGGACGGCCACAUUGGGACUGAGAUACGGCCCAGACUCCUACGGGAGGCAGCAGUGGGGAAUAUUGCACAAUGGGCGGAAGCCUGAUGCAGCGACGCCGCGUGGAGGAUGACGGCCUUCGGGUUGUAAACUCCUUUCGACCGCGAGGAAGCCACCUGGUUGGAAGGGUGGUGACGGUAGUGGUAGAAGAAGCACCGGCUAACUACGUG
rnacentral:rRNA from 1 species